rnacentral:autocatalytically_spliced_intron from 1 species
AACUGCAGGAACCAGUCGAUUUGAUGAAAAGCGAGAUAAGCAAGAGGCUAAUCCUCAAGCUUUAGAGUAGCGAUGCAAAUCACUGGGGCGCGUAGUAGUGAAGAAGUGGUUGUAAUGACCAUGGAGCAAAGGGGUUGAACUAGUUGAUUUUAGUAAAUCAUUCAACUUGAAGGAGGAUGAAAAUGAUUGAAAGAACAAAGCCUUUUAACAUACCAAAAUCUCUAGUGUUUUUGGCUUAUAAAAGAGUUAAAGAAAACAGAGGAGGAGCAGGUAUUGAUAAUUGAAAAGUUUGAUCAAGACUUAAGCAAGAACCUUUACAAGCUAUGGAAUAGGCUAUCAUCCGGUAGUUAUUUUCCACCUGCAGUGAAGGCUUGUGAUAUAACUAAGGCAGAUGGAGGGACAAGGACACUUGGAAUACCAACUGUCUCGGAUCGUAUAGCACAGGAAGUUGUAAGAAGUGUUUUAGAACCAGAACUUGAGAAGGCAUUUGAUGAAGAUUCAUAUGGUUAUAGGCCAAAUAAAUCAGCAUUAGAUGCCAUAGGACAAACCAGGAAGCGAUACCAAAAUUGGUUAAUAGAGUUUGAUAUCAAGGGAAUGUACGAUAACAUAGACCACAAUCUACUGAUGAAAGCAGUCAGAAAACACACUACAAAUAAAUGGGUUAUCUUAUACAUACAAAGAUGGCUAAGUGCAGAUAUGCAACUUGAAGAUGGAACAAAGAUAAAGCGUCUCAGCGGAGUGCCGCAGGGAGGUGUAAUUACCC